UACGUAGGGUGCGAGCGUUAAUCGGAAUUACUGGGCGUAAAGCGUGCGCAGGCGGCGCGUUAAGACAGGUGUGAAAGCCCCGAGCUUAACUUGGGAAUUGCGCUUGUGACUGGCGUGCUGGAGUGUGGCAGAGGGAGGUGGAAUUCCACGUGUAGCAGUGAAAUGCGUAGAGAUGUGGGGGAACACCGAUGGCGAAGGCAGCCUCCUGGGCCAGCACUGACGCUCAUGCACGAAAGCGUGGGGAGCAAACAGG
rnacentral:rRNA from 1 species